CGGAAGGCCGCAGCGCGGAGAUGUACGGGAAGAAGCGGUUUCUCUUCUAAGCAAUUCAUUGAAAAUUAGCUGCUAAUCGGAGUUACGUUUCCCGGCGAUGUCGAACCUUUUGCUGUUCGAUCGGUUUUCGUCAAUGCUCGGAAUUCCAUGAUUGCUUCGUCGCAUAAGCUGGAUUCCGGCAUUUUCUGGUGCAUCAGACCAUAACAGGUGUGGAUAAUCAAUUUGAUGUCGCCGCUCUUCCUUUCCAUGAAAAAAGAGAGAGAAGAAGCAUUUUGAUAAGUUUCUCGAAUAAGAAACUAAGUCGUCGUCUUGCGAGCAAGAGCUUUGGACUCUGAGAUCUUAUUUUCCUUUAUGCAGUGGAGCGCCAUCCUCAUAGAUCCAUGUAAUCUUUGUAUGAUAUCAGUUGUGAUGGUUAGGUUAGAGUACUUGCAAUGAGCGCUUGAUUGAGGACAGCGAGUUACGGCCAGUGUGGUGGAUUUUGAAAAUGGAGUUUCAAUCGAGUUACUAGAGGAGGAGAACUUGGAUGAACUGGAUCGUGGAAAGCAGGAAUCUGAAUUCCUAUCUAUUUAUAAUGUGAAGCGUAUGAAGCUGCAAGAUGAGAUUAUUGAGGUGGAAGGAAGAUUGAUAGGAGACCAUGAUAGCUCAAGCUUCUCAGAUAGCUUAGAUAAUUUGAUUGGUGAAUCUCAGAAGGAAUUGAAUUCAGUGAAGAAGGCACUUGCAUCUAGAUUGAGGGACGCGUUAGCAUUAAAGAGGCUCUUGAUGACGUGCCAACCCAAACUGAACUCAUCCGGUUUGUUGUUUUCUUAUUAGCCUUCCUGUUUUCCUUCCUAAAAAUGAUAUUUCUUGUCCAUUGCAUGAUUGCUUCGUCAUCAUUUUUUCUUGUUGUCACUUUUUCUCCGUGAUAAUUAUUUGUAACUGCCCAAGCCCACCGCUAGUAAAUAUUGUCGUCUUUUAAAUUUUUUUUUCCAAGUUUCCCUUCAAAAUUUUUAA